rnacentral:rRNA from 1 species
GAUGAACGCUGGCGGCGUGCUUAACACAUGCAAGUCGAACGAAGCACUUCAUUUGAUUUCCUUCGGGACUGAUUAUUUUGUGACUGAGUGGCGGACGGGUGAGUAACGCGUGGGUAACCUGCCUUGUACAGGGGGAUAACAGCUGGAAACGGCUGCUAAUACCGCAUAAGCGCACGGCAUCGCUUGAUGCAGUGUGAACAACUCCGGUGGUAUAAGAUGGACCCGCGUUGGAUUAGCUAGUUGGUGAGGUAACGGCCCACCAAGGCGACGAUACAUAGCCGACCUGAGAGAGUGACCGGCCACAUUGGAACUGAGACGCGGCCCAAACUCCUACGGGAGGCAGCAGUGGGGAAUAUUGCAAAAUGGGCGAAAGCCUGAAGCAGCGACGCCGCGUGAGUGAAGAAGUAUGUCGGUAUGUAAAGCUCGAUCAGCAGGGAAGAUGAUGACGGUACCGGACUAAUAAGCACCGGCUAAAUACGUG